GAUCCAUUAGCUCAGCUGGCAGAGCACCUGACUUUUAAUCAGGGUGCCUGGGGUUCGAAUCCCCAAUGGAUCACCA
rnacentral:tRNA from 1 species